CUGAGAUGAUUUCUUCAUUAACAUGAUGGAAGGAACUCAACAGCAAUACUAAUAAACAUCUAACCAAGGUACCAAGAACAAAUUCUCCCAGGCAAAGCUAUUUGCGGGAGCUGUGAAGCAUAAGAGCUUACUUAGAGAGGCACAACAGUGUGAAAAAACUGUCAUCGGCCCCUGACCCAGAUGACAAGAAUCAAGAAGCCCCAUCCUGCGUGUCUCUUGGAAGCACGUCCCUGAGGGGCCCCUCCAUCCACUGCUCCUCCACUGCCGUCUGUAUCUGCAUCCUCCCAGGCUUGGGUGCCUACUGUGGGGGCAGCGACUCUGAGUCCAGCUCAGACAGCGAAGGCACCAUCAACACCACCGGCAAGAUCUCGUCUCCUCCAUCUUCUGAACCUUCCUUGAGGCCCCCUAGCUCCUCUGUUCCCAUGGCCCUGAGCUCCUCCCCAAGAGGAGACCAGACAGUUCAUUCUGCCUACAGCUUCAACUGGGAACUACUCUCACUAGAGUGUAAGCUCCAGGAGGACAAGGGUUAGUGUCUGUUGUAUUCCCUGUGCAUGAUAAAUAAGACACACUCAAUGGUUAUUUAUUGAAUGAAUUAACACAAAGCACUAAUUAAUGCUACCCCAUCAUAUUCUUGUAUAUUCUUUUUCUAAAAUCUUAGUCAUAUCUGGUAAAUGCUCAGUUUUAUGUAUUUCCUCCAACCCACAGUUUUUCUUCAAGGAGGUAUCUGAGUUUAUAGACAGGUGGGCUUCUAUGACCUUAUAGCGGCAGAAAAAGGUAGCCUCAGACCCAAACCAACAGGUUCCUGCUCUCCUUUGUGUUCUCUGGAAUCUGCAACAUGUCCCUUAUGUGUCUGGUCACUUGGCUCCCUGCUGACAUCUACUGCUGAAAUCCCUGGCUGGUUUGUUCAGUUGGCUCAGUUUGGGAACUAUGAUCAUCUCCUUCUAAUUGAGCCCAAUCUCAGCCUUUACUGGAGCUGCAAGACUCUAUAAGUCUCAGUCACAUCUGCAGGGAAGCAAAGUUUGCCACGCCAAAAUGUGUCUCUUUGGAGUGAGGAUUAUUUUAGGCUGACUAUUUUCAAGAAACAGAUAACUUAGGAAGUCUUUCUUUUUUACCUCCUUAACUGCCUAAA